ACUCAGCAGGGUGCGGAGGCGGGGAUGGAGGAGGAGUAAAGGCUGUUUACAAACUUGAAGUACACACGCAGCCCUACCCUUAAGGUUCUGGAAUUGGGGGUUACCAUCUCGGGAUCUGGGGACGCUCUGAUGCCCCGGGUUCUGAAGCCUGACUUAUGAGCACCGGGGCCAUAACCUUUCGAAGCACAGGAUUCCUGCGCUCUGGCCCUAGAUCUUGGGGCAGCGAUGACUCACUGCAACAGCCCCUGCUCCUUCGCCAAACUGCCGUCUCCGCCCACCCCCAAACCAUGUCCACAGAGCGCUGCAGCUCCGGGCGCUUUGCUGGGGGCUAAAGGGUCUCAUCCCCCAUCCCUGUAUCCCAGCAGGCUAAACCUUCCCCCGCGCCCAGUCUUCAAGUUUGCCUCGCUCCCCACCGGACCUUCCCAUUGAGCAGCCGAGAUAGACGCGACAUCUAGACGGGGUACUCUGGAUCCACGAGCAGCGCGCGGACAAGGCAGCAGAGCGUCCGGGCAAAGUCCUGGAGGUGUGUUCAUCCAGCAAGUCUCGCCUCUGUUGAGAUUUAACUCUGUGCCUCGUGCUGAGCUAGAAGCUGAGGACCAGGGAAGAGCAGGACCCUCAUGGAACUUGUGGCUGGCAUGUUGUCGAGAGCUGGAACAUGCCACAACUUUGUAACAUUGCUCUUCUACAUGGAUUUCCGUACACAGGGUCUCUAGGAGUCGGAACCAACUUGACAGCACUAACCACAAAAGCAUGGAUUUCUAUAUUCUAUCAUUCUUCUCAAGUAAAGCUUGGAUGUGCUCCUUUCCCUUUGAACACUGAGGGCUCCGUCUCCAAGUUCCGUUGCUAGAAGGCAUAUUAUGAAACGGGAUGUAUCGUCAGAGACGCAGGGUUGCUGUGUUUCACAUCUCUAGGCAGCACCAUUGGAUAUCAUUGUCUACGUGGAUAGUGCCCCUGGAACUGGGCAGUACACAGCCUGCACAGCCCCAUUCAGUGACCCCAUUUCAACAAUAUCUACUGGGAAAACUUGCAUUUUGAAAGAAGAUUCCAAUCAAGGAUGCGUCUUGACCUCAUUAGAAUUUUCACAUGGAAGGAAUUCCACAUGGAAAGCCCAUUCUGGAGUUCUAUAAAGAAGGCAACUCGAGAAAGAAAAUCACUUCUAACAUCAUUUGCUGCUUUCCAAAAAUAUGAAUUCUUAUGAAUCAGAUGUGUGGCACAAUUGUGGCACACCACACAAUUUACCACUUCAAGGGGGUCCCUGAAGUUCCACUUUCCUCCUGGAUAUGCCAUGAAGUAGGCAAGAUAAACUAAAUGCGUCAAAGAAUUCACCUAUGGAAAUCUUUGCAAGAAAUAAUCCAUCAACCUGUGCGAUAGUCAGGCUCUUAAAGCCAGGGUGACUCGCUGCAUACAAAACCACAACUAAUGUUGAAUUCAAAUCAGCCUAAUACCAGGUACUCUCAAACAAUGAAAGAAAUGGAAGAUAAGGAGAAUUUGAUUCAGAAUUAACUGAGGAAAUAGAUGUUCUCGUAUUAAGAACUGUUCCUCGUUAUCACCAUCAAAAUAUUCUUGUCAUCAAGGAAGAUGACACAGGAGCCUGAAUAGGAUUGAUAUAUGAAGCUUUAAAGCAACAUUUGCCUUGAUUUUUAGUUUAAGGUCACUAUGCCUCUUUCUGCUGCAAAGAUUAGUUUCUAGAGGGAACUUAUUCAUCAAUGUCCAGUACCAAUUACAUUGCCAGUGUAACCCCCAUGGAGAAGAAGAAAGCUCCUAUCUGAAAUGAUAAGGUGGCCUACUGAGGCAAAAGGGACUCAGAGACAGACAAACCUGGAUUGAAAUCCUUGCUCCACCACUUUCUAGCCGUGUGUCUUUGGCAGGUUGAGAAACUUCUUGGAGCCUGGAGCCUGGAGCCUGAGCUUCCUCAUUUAUAAUGGGAAUAAUAACCAGUACUCUGAAGAUGUACCGUAAAAAUGAGAGGUAACAUGUAAUAUGCCUAGGACACAGCUUGAUAAGAGAAGGCAUUCCACAGACAAUAACCAUGAUAAUUGAGGGGCAUUCGAGCGAAUUGGUUUUCUUGAGCUGAAUCACAAACGCCACCAUUCCCUCAAGACACGGGUCUGUUAAAAGUGAGUUUAUGAACCUGCAAAGCUGUGCAUUCUUUUACAGACACCCCUGAGACUCAGCCAAAAAUAGGCUGCCACUUUCAAGAAUCUCCACUGUAGUACAAAGCCUUCCUUAGAGUUUAGUAGCAGGCAUUGUUCUAAGCAGGAAUUUUCAACAUUCUUAUUGCCCAAAACCCCAUGACACUGUGUUUCAAGACUCUUGUAUAUCAAACAGAUAAUACUUAUUAAAUAAUAAACUUAUUUUCCCACUCUUUAUUACUUUAAGGCAUAAAUAAUUUUCUCACAUAGGUUUUGAAUUGACAUCAUUCAUUCAUCAAUAAGUAUCUGUGGACUACAAUGUGUUACAUGCUGGGAUUACAGUGCUGGCCAGGACUUGAUCCUUGCUCACAGUUUGAUGAGGAGACACACAAGUAAAGGACUGAAGAAUGGCGAGAGAUAGUCAAGGAAGAAGACAUAGGAAGAAUGCUUUGGGUAAAGGGAACAACACAUGCAAGGCUUCAAGG